GGCAAGCGUUAUCCGGAAUUAUUGGGCGUAAAGCGCGCGCAGGCGGUUUCUUAAGUCUGAUGUGAAAGCCCACGGCUCAACCGUGGAGGGUCAUUGGAAACUGGGGAACUUGAGUGCAGAAGAGAAAAGCGGAAUUCCACGUGUAGCGGUGAAAUGCGUAGAGAUGUGGAGGAACACCAGUGGCGAAGGCGGCUUUUUGGUCUGUAACUGACGCUGAGGCGCGAAAGCGUGGGGAGCAAACAGGAUUAGAUACCCUAGUAGUCCACGCCGUAAACGAUGAGUGCUAAGUGUUAGAGGGUUUCCGCCCUUUAGUGCUGCAGCUAACGCGUUAAGCACUCCGCCUGGGGAGUACGGCCGCAAGGCUGAAACUCAAAGGAAUUGACGGGGGCCCGCACAAGCGGUGGAGCAUGUGGUUUAAUUCGAAGCAACGCGAAGAACCUUACCAGGUCUUGACAUCCCCUGACAACCCUGGAGACAGGGCGUUCCCCCUUCGGGGGGACAGGGU
rnacentral:rRNA from 1 species